CGGUUGAUCCUGCCGGAGGCUACCGCUAUUGGAGUUCGAUUAAGCCAUGCGAGUCGCGAGAAAUUAGAUUCUCGGCGUACCGCUCAGUAACACGUGGGUAACCUGCCCUAUGCUGGAUAAUAACCUCGGGAAACUGAGAAUAAUGAUCCAUAGUUCACUACGCCUGGAACGGUGAGUGGAUGAAAGCUCCGGCGGCAUAGGAUGGGCCUGCGGCGUAUCAGGUUGUAGGGGGUGUAACGUACCCUCUAGCCCUCUACGCGUACGGGUGUUGGGAGACAUAGCCCGGAGAUGGAUUCUGAGACACGAAUCCAGACCCUACGGGGUGCAGCAGGCGCGAAAACUUGGCAAUGCGAGAAAUCGUGACCAGGGAACUCCAAGUGCAUCGGGUAAGACCGGUGCUUUUCUUGACUCUAAAUAGUUCUUGGAAUAAGGGCUGGGAAAGACCGGUGCCAGCCGCCGCGGUAAUACCGGCAGCUCGAGUGGUCGUCGCUUUUAUUGGGCCUAAAACGUCCGUAGCCUGUUUGGUAAAUCUGUGGGUAAAUCAAUCCGCUUAACGGAUUGAAUUCUGCAGAGACUGCCAGACUAGGGACCGGGAGAGGUAUGAGGUACUCUGGGGGUAGGGGUAAAAUCCCGUCAUCCUCAGAGGACCACCUGUUGCGAAAGGCGUCAUACUGGAACGGAUCCGACGGUCAGGGACGAAGCCUAGGGGCACGAACCGGAUUAGAUACCCGGGUAGUCCUAGGUGUAAACGCUGUGGAUUUGGUGUGUGGGGUCCGCAAUGGGCCCCAUGUGCCGGAGUGAAGAUGUUAAAUCCACUGCCUGGGGAGUACGGUCGCAAGGCUGAAACUUAAAGGAAUUGGCGGGGGAGCACUGCAACGGGAGGAGCGUGCGGUUUAAUUGGAUUCAACGCCGGAAAACUCACCAAGGCCGACUGUUAGAUGAAGAUCAGCGUAACGAGCUUAUUGGAUUAUCAGAGAGGUGGUGCAUGGCCGUCGUCAGUUCGUACUGUAAAGCGUUCUGUUAAGUCAGAUAACGAACGAGACCCGCAUCCUUAUUUGCGACCCUCAUGUCCGCAUGAGGCGCACCAUAGGGAGAUCGCUGGUGUGAAACCAGAUGAGAGCGCGGGCAACGACAGGUCAGUAUGCCCCGAAUGUCUUGGGCUACACGCGCGCUACAAAGGACAGGACAAUGGGAAGCCACGCCGAGAGGCGGCGCUACCCCGAAACCUGUUCGUAGUUCGGAUCGAGGGCUGUAACUCGCCCUCGUGAAGCUGGAUUCCGUAGUAAUCGUGUUUCAACAUAGCACGGUGAAUAUGCCCCUGCUCCUUGCACACACCGCCCGUCAAG
rnacentral:rRNA from 1 species